AAGAGACCGUCCGACAUCCAAGGCUGUGGUAAUGCGUUUAUGACAAGUUUGUUUCAUUAGAUGUCUAGAAAUUGGGUGUGUUCGGAUCUACCAUUAGAUACACCUCUAUUUACCGCAGAUGGGGAUAUCAAACGUGUAUCAGCUGAUUUCAAGAUUACGUCUACACGGAUUAUUUACGCGAAAUCUACCUGAUGUUUACAUGGUCUUUUUGCUACGUAGACUUGUAAACUAUGUAGACUAUU